ACACACAUACCAAACAAUAUCCUUUCCAUAUGUGAAGUUUCAGUGUUCACGGUACUAAGGCCAAGUGGAGAAACUAAAUGGGGCAAAGGCACAGCUUUAGUAGGGUUAAGGAGUUCUACAAUCAUUUACUGGCUUGCUUACGUAAGUAGAGCUGUGAGUUGAAUUAAGAAUAAGCAGAUCACUUCAGUCAUACAGGGCCUCACCUUUAUCUUGCCAUUGUACAAACAUGGACUGAUACAUGAGGGAUUUGGAAGAAAGAUUACAGACAGUGGAAAUACAGAAACAGGUGAGACUUGACCUUGUUUUCCUUGGCAGCUGAUGGGAAGGGACUAGCUAUGUGUUUGGCAAAUCUAAGAGCAAUUAAUUAACUUUUAGACGCCAUGCAACUGUCAGACACACGAAGCUGGUUGGUCGGGGCCUACGCAUCCUUCCUGCAGGCACAGCACAUUCUAGCAUCUUUCAGAGCACCUCUGUGUUUAGAGCUGCCCACACAACCUCACUGACACCCUGCCCUGGCCUUGAGAGACACUGGCAUGUUUUCUACCCCCACCCUUGGCAUCAGGCCUCUUUGGGAUGCGCUGCUUUGCGUAGAAUCUUGCCUAAGUGGGUAAGCAUGACUCAGAAAGUUCAUAUUUCCAAAGCCUUGAUAGAGCCAGGUAUUUAAAGGAAGCAAAGUCCAGAAGUAUUGGGGUUUCUGCAUAACCUUCCAUUUCAGCAUUCCUGCAGGAGCUCACUUGUCACCUGCCCAGGACAGACAUGACUAAUCAAUUAUGAGCCAGGAUCUGUAUCCAUCAAGUGAUCAAUGAAGCCAGCCAUUCCCCUGCUCAGCAGAAGAUGUAAAGCGUUUCACUGGUAUAAAACAGGAGCUAAGAAUACUGACAGUGUAGCCCCUCCCCCAAUCCUCAUUGGUUUACCUUGCAGAGACCGCAAUGUUAUCAAAAGAAGUCUUGAGAAUUCGGUAAAACGGUUAGAGCAACAAUAAUGGCUAUCUUACAGAAUGUUAAUUCUAUUAAAAAUCUGCAUCUCAUGUAGAGGAUAUCUUUAUACACAUGGACCGUUCUCACCGGCAGCUUAAGGGGCUAAGGCUCCAAUAACAAUGUGGCUUCUUCUACUGGAUGUACGGAGCUCUCAGGACGGCCCUGACUACUGGAUCUCCAGCAGGCACUCAGACCUCACACUGUCCCCUCCUCGUCUCCGUGGAUCUUGAGUUUUUAGAUUUGUGGCCUGACACUGUCUAGGGCCUCUGGGACACCUAUGGAGCACAGAGAAGCCAUGCCUAAGAAUGUUGAUGAGUCCUCAUCCAACACAGAACAGCUCAGGAGAUAACAAGAGGAUCAGGGAGGUUCUUUGGUUUUGUGUCUUUUACAUUUGAGACAAAAUGUUUACGAAAGAUAAAAAGAAGCGUUUUGUUUGG
rnacentral:sRNA from 1 species